GGCAGUGUGGUGUAGUGGUGAGAGUGUCAGACUAAGACCUGGGAGACCGGGGUUCAAAUCCCCACUCUGCCA